rnacentral:rRNA from 1 species
UACGGAGGGUCCAAGCGUUAUCCGGAAUCAUUGGGUUUAAAGGGUCCGUAGGCGGCCAAAUAAGUCAGUGGUGAAAGCCCAUCGCUCAACGAUGGAACGGCCAUUGAUACUGUUUGGCUUGAAUUAUUAGGAAGUAACUAGAAUAUGUAGUGUAGCGGUGAAAUGCUUAGAGAUUACAUGGAAUACCAAUUGCGAAGGCAGGUUACUACUAAUAUAUUGACGCUGAUGGACGAAAGCGUGGGGAGCGAACAGGAUUAGAUACCCUGGUAGUCCACGCCGUAAACGAUGGAUACUAGCUGUUCGGAGCAAUCUGAGUGGCUAAGCGAAAGUGAUAAGUAUCCCACCUGGGGAGUACGUUCGCAAGAAUG